GGUUCAGGAUGAACGCUGGCGGCGUGCUUAAUACAUGCAAGUCGAACGAAGACAGUAGCAAUAUUGUCUGAGUGGCGAACGGGUGAGUAACGCGUUGGUGACCUGCCCCGAAGAGAGGGAUAACAGUCCGAAAGGAUUGCUAAUACCCCAUGUGGUCGUUUGGAUUAGAUGCCUUAUGACUAAACGGAUUUAUUCGCUUCGGGAGGGGCCUGCGUCCCAUCAGCUAGUUGGUAAGGUAAUGGCCUACCAAGGCGAUGACGGGUAGGGGACCUGAGAGGGUGGCCCCCCACAAUGGAACUGAAACACGGUCCAUACACCUACGGGUGGCAGCAGUAGGGAAUAUUGGUUAAUCUGGGAAACCGGGAAACCCAGCAACGCCGCGUGCACGAUGAAGGCCUUCGGGUUGUAAAGUGCUUUUUGGAAGGAUGAGGAAGGACAGUACUUUCAGAAUAAGCUUCGGCUAACUACGUGCCAGCCGCCGC
rnacentral:rRNA from 1 species